AGCUCCACCGUACAGACCGUACCGAAACCGAAACAAGUGGUCAGGUAGAGUAUACCAAGGCGCUUGAGAGAACUCUGCUGAAGGAACUCGGCAAAUUGCACGCGUAACUUCGGAAUAAGCGUGACCUCCACGUACGCAAGUAUUUGGAGGUGGCACAGACCAGGGGGUAGCGACUGUUUAUCAAAAACACAGGGCUCUGCGAAGUCGCAAGACGACGUAUAGGGUCUGACGCCUGCCCGGUGCCGGAAGGUUAAGAGGAGAGGUGCAAGCUUUGAAUCGAAGCCCCGGUAAACGGCGGCCGUAACAAUAACGGUCCUAAGGUAGCGAAAUUCCUUGUCGGGUAAGUUCCGACCUGCACGAAUGGCGUAACGACUUCCCCGCUGUCUCCAGCAGAGGCUCAGUGAAAUUGAAUUCCCCGUGAGGAUGCGGGGUUCCCGCUGUUAGACGGAAAGACCCCGUGCACCUUUACUAUAGCUUUACACUGGCAUUCGUGACGGCAUGUGUAGGAUAGGUGGUACACUUUGAAGCCUGGGCGCCAGCUCAGGUGGAGUCUCCCUUGAAAUACCACCCUUAUCUUCAUGGAUGUCUAACCGCGACCCGUUAUCCGGGCCCGGGACAGUGUAUGGUGGGUAGUUUGACUGGGGCGGUCGCCUCCCAAAGAGUAACGGAGGCGCGCGAUGGUGGGCUCAGAACGGUCGGAAAUCGUUCGCUGAGUGCAAUGGCAUAAGCCUGCCUGACUGCGAGACUGACAAGUCGAGCAGAGACGAAAGUCGGUCAUAGUGAUCCGGUGGUCCCGCGUGGAAGGGCCAUCGCUCAACGGAUAAAAGGUACGCCGGGGAUAACAGGCUGAUGACCCCCAAGAGUCCAUAUCGACGGGGUUGUUUGGCACCUCGAUGUCGACUCAUCGCAUCCUGGGGCUGGAGCAGGUCCCAAGGGUAUGGCUGUUCGCCAUUUAAAGCGGUACGUGAGUUGGGUUCAGAACGUCGUGAGACAGUUCGGUCCCUAUCUGCCGUGGGUGUAGGAAUAUUGACAGGAUCUGUCCCUAGUACGAGAGGACCGGGAUGGACGUACCUCUGGUGGACCUGUUGUGGCGCCAGCCGCAGUGCAGGGUAGCUACGUACGGUCGGGAUAACCGCUGAAGGCAUCUAAGCGGGAAACCCACCUGAAAACGAGUAUUCCCUGAGAGUCGUGGAAGACUACCACGUUGAUAGGCCGGGUGUGGAAGUGCGGCAACGCAUGAAGCUUACCGGUACUAAUAGCUCU
rnacentral:rRNA from 1 species